GCACGUAUUUUGAUUUUUACCAGUCGUUCAAGACGGACGGAUUCAGUCCCAAGAAGCUAAAGUUUUUCAAAGACAUUUGUAGGGAGGACUUUGCAGCUAAUGAUUUCCUUAGGCUGAACUAAAACCUGCCAGACUAAAGUUGAUUUGGGAGAGAAAGACGUUGUAAACUCAAUCAUCUUGACAUUCUUCAAUGAGUAAUUGUUCAAUUUUAAGGCAAAUACUGUACUCUUUGAAUGCUGUGAAUAAAACUAUAUUUUAAAUAUAU